AUUACAAUAUAAGCCAACUUAAUUCUUAGACAGAGAUGUGGAUUAAAACAUUUUAUAUAAUUUUAACGAUUUUCAUUAUUCUAACAACCGUUACUGGCGAUGACACGGAAUGCGAGAACCUCGGAGGUGUGUGCGUGCCCCCCGACCAGCAGUGUCGUCCGUUAUACUAUGAUUGUGACGUCAACACUAAAUGCUGCGCUUUACGUGCUAUAGAUGUUAAGUCAUAAUGAGAAUGUGUAUGCAGCUGAGAGAGAGAGAGAGAAAGAGAGAGAGCUGAGUAUCUCUGUAUUCUAUACUAGCUCUUGACCGCGUCUUCGCCCACGAUAAUGUCGUGCGUCCGCUAAUAACGUAAUAAUAGGAUGGGACCUGGAGAAUCAAUCAUACUCGAAUUUAGGUUUCGCCUCGAUAUUAUGACAAGGUAUAUUAUGAUAAAGUAUUGACGACCUCGGUGGCGCAGUGGUAAAGUUCUUGCCACUGAACCUAGAGGUCCCGGGUUCGAUCCCCGGUCGGGUCAUGAUGGAAAAUGAUCUUUUUCUGAUUGGCCCGGGUCUUGGAUGUUUAUCUAUAUAUGUACAUGUUAUAAAAAUAUAGUAUCGUUGAGUUAGUAUCCCAUAACACAAGUCUCGAACUUACUUUGGGGCUAGCUCAAUCUGUGUGAUUUGUCCUAAUAUAUUUAUUUAUAUUUAUUUAUUUAUAUUUAUAUCUGGUAGUCGACUCAUUAAUAGCAUACAUGAAAAGUAAUUCGUCAUUACACCAUUUCUUAAUUAACUGGAUAUUGUACUAUUUUUAUUUAUUCAUGUGCACAAAAUAAUAAUGUUUACAUAUAGGAAACUAAGCACAAACUUAUUUUUCUAGUAUAUUUUUCAGUAUACACGAGAAAGAAAAAUGUAUAAUGUUACUAUGUAAUGUAACUAUGUAUUCUGAUAGGUAUAUACAUUCGUAAAUAAGAAAAUAAGUCAAGAUGGAUGGUUGAUUAUAUAACAACAUUGUACCAUAUACACGAAAUGGCAAUACAUUUUUCAAAUAUAUUUUCUUUAAUAAUAUUCAUACAAACCUUUGUAUCACAACGAACCGGGUGGAAAUGUUAAUUAAAAUGCUGUAAUCACGUAUGUAAUUAAAUAUUACGUAGUCGUUGGAUCAUGUUAGCAAUCUAUAUUUUUACAUCAAAGGUUUGAUCAAAAGGGGUAUUGCAGAUAUUUAUAAAUGAAGCCUUUAGAAAGAAGAUGAAUAGAAAGUAUUUCUGUAACACAAUGUGGUCGCAGUUGACUAAACGGAUUUUGGUGACCACCGUGGAUUGGAUUUAGUCAACUGUGAUCACAUUGUGUAAUGGUAAACUGUAACAAUAAUAGUUUCUAAAAAAUAUAUUUAUUUCGUGCGGUCAUAAUUUGUCGAGAGAAUUUUCAAAAAAACACACAAACGGACACGUUUAACGCACUCCAGAACCGCAGAUAAAUAUUUGUGAUCACAAAUACAUAUAAUAUUACAAUAUUUGCCCGCGCUGAGAAUCGAACAGCGGGCGUACGAGUAUUAACCACUACGCCACGAAGUUAGUUGUGUUUAUCUAUAUAUAUAAAACUCUUCCUGACUACCGUUACUGAGUGACUGACUGACUGACUGACAGACAACGUACAAAGGAAACUACUGGGCGUAGGAACCCGAAAUUUGGCAUGUAGAUUCCCUGGGGAAUGUAGGUGAGCACUAAGAGAGGAUUUUUGGAAAUUCUACCCCGAAUGGGGUGAAAGGGGUAAAAAACUUUCAUAUGAAAGUUCUACACUGUUGAAGUUAGUGGCUUGAAAAUUAGGAUUUUGGUUGUUAUAACAUAUUAAUGAAUACGUGUUUCAUUCGUGAUUUUUCUGAAAAUGAAUCCUCAACCCCUUCAAAAGGGGUGUGAAAGAUUGUAAGGAACUUAAUAAAAAUUUCAAAAUAAAAAGCUGUAAAUUUGUAAACAUACUCUACAUAUAUAUAUAUAUUUUAAUGACCAAGAUUUAUUAUGAAAGUCACGCGGGCGGAGCCGCGGGCAUAAGCUAAUUUAUUUAUAAAGUCACUCACUGUACUAACAGUUGCCCAAGGCGUGCAGUGAGCCAAAAAUAAACAUUGAUGAUUAUUAUUAUUAUUAUAUGAUAAAUAAUUUAUACAUAUUGUGUUACGCUUCAAUGGCUCUACGACGUAGCAACACGUCGUAGAGCCUCUACACGUGCUACAAGUUAAAGCAAUGAGCACUCCCAGAAUUCUCUAGAAAUCAAAAUACGAUAUAUUUACGAAAUUUUCACGAAAUUACUUUACGGUACUUGAUUAUUUUGAUAAAUUUAUAUAAUUCAUCAUUCAGUCGUAGUAAAUAGGUAUCAAAUGUAAUGUUCAUUCGUUUCCCUUUCGCAAAAUGCCUUUUUUCUAAAAUUUCUAAUUUUGCACAAAGGACAUUAUACAAAAAAGACAUUAUGCGACCAGAGGACAUUCUGAGAAAAGGACAACUUACGAAGCGAAGCGGUCGUAGUCUUAGCGUUUAUAAACAUAAAAUUUAAAACGUCAUGCCAGCCUACAGUAAAACUUUUCAACUGUAAUCGAUUCACCUUCAACAAUCAAUCUUUAUAUCGAAUGAAUUCGCUGUUCAAAACGACCCAAUACACUUUAUAUAAACGUUUGAAUUCGACGGCUUUCAAUAUUAAUUCCGUUUACAGAGAAUUGUCGAUCAAUUUCCAAACAUAGGUAUUAUUAUAAGUAUCGAUCUAUGAAUUCAAAUAGAGAUAUGAUUUUUUAAUUAACUUUUGUUCGUCCUUCUACUUUCAUUAGUUGAUGGAAUUCUAUCCACAUUAUAUAUAUUAUUUUUGUAAUUAAUGAUCUCAAAUCGGAACAACAUUGUUCCGAUUUUGAUCAAAUUUAGCACAGAACUAAACUACCUAAGCAACCUUCACAGUCAACCUUCUGGAGUAACAUAGGCUACAUUUUAUAGUAAAGAUAUAAAUAUAUUAAACAGAAUAAAGUAUAGAUAAAGUCACGAGCGGAGCGCUAGUAAUCAUUAAAUACCCGAAUAAAUGUAUGUUAUGGUCUGCAAAUGUUACAAAAAUGCAAUUAAAUGUACGCGCUGACGACAAAAAAGGGUUUAAUUUAAAUUAUACUGGUCGUCUGCAAUUAUCUGAAUAAAUCAGAUUUUAUUUUUUAUAAAAAAAAUUGCACCUUUUCACAAUAUAUGUCUACACAAUGUUACCCACGUGCACAAGUAAAAUUGGACAGGAAUUGAAUAGAAAAUAACUAAAAUAAGAUGGUACAAACUCGCACGUGCAGGCGAGACGGCCACGACACACACACCGGUUGAAUAGACUGCUGAGAUGAAACUAUUCAUAGGGCCCUUUCACAUCAAAGUUACAGAACUAGUGCUUAUAAAUAUAGACGGGGUUACUUCAACCCUACUACCUAUAUGGGUCAGUGGCUGUCCAUUUUGGCCGUCAUAUGAAUACACCCUUAUCUGUUGAAGGUUGAUAUUUUCGAUUAUAAUCACAUGUCAAAAAGUGUACUUAUAUGUUAAGAAGGGACGUGUGGUAUUCGACAAAAGGUUCGUUCGUGUCGUCACCUCGGAUUUUUGACUAAUACACGGGACGCGACUGCUGUACAUUUGGAAGUAACACUUUUUUAACCGAUCGUAUAACAAUUGGGUGUUUGGAACCUCAUUAUUCAAAUUUUGAUUGACACUAUGCGAAAAAGAGCGGUAUUCUUUGAUGGACUGAUAAAUGUGUAUAAAAAGUUUAGUAUAUAAAAUAUGACACUGUAACACACCAACGCCAAAUUACUUUAUAUUGUGUCAUUCAUUACAUAUUCGAUAAAAUUUAUAUAAAACCACAUGCUAUGUAUAAUUUUACGACGACCUCGGUGGCGCAGUGGUAAAGUUCUUGCCACUGAACCGAGAGGUCCCGGGUUCGAUCCCCGGUCGGGUCAUGAUAGAAAAUGAUCUUUUUCUGACCGGCCCGGGUCUUGGAUGUUUAUCUAUAUAUGUAUUUGUUAUAAAAUACAGUAUCCUUGAGUUAGUAUCCCAUAACACAAGUCUCGAACUUACUUUGGGGCUAGCUCAAUCGGUGUGAUUUGUCCUAAUAUAUUUAUUUAUAUUAUUUAAGUAUGAAGCGUAUAACACAAACGUCUGAUCUGACAGCCUUUUUGAUUAAAAAAUGUGGACCUUGGGCUCCAACGCUCAACGAAAGAAACAGGAAAAGCGCACAGAUGAAAGAAAAUUUAAACGUCAGAAAAUUUCGGUCGCAAGCAUUUUACAACAGAGAAAGAAAAGGGCAAAGGGCAAGUUGGCAUUUCAUAUCUCAAUAUAGAGUAGUUUCGAAGUGAGACGUAGGGGACCAAUCACAUUGCGGUGUGGUUGACGUUACGUUACAACGGCGCACUGUGAUUGGUUGGCUGCGUCUCACUGCGAAUCGACUCGAUGAUGAGAUGUAUAUAGCAAAGUCGCAAGAAAACGUGCAGAUUAGAGAGAGAAUAUAUAUAUAAAGAGAAUUUCGAGCACAGGCAUUAUUUUUGUUAAUAUUAUAAAUUCAUAUCCCGAGCUGCCAUAUUUAUAGCAUCUAUUAAGAUGACAGAAUACGAUAGUUUAAGGGUAGCUUACGUCUGCGAAUUUAAUCUCGCUGGCUUAAAGGCUCGACAAUAAGCCCUGUGGUAAGGAAAGAGGAUUAUUAUAAGGGGAGAUUUUAUUUUCAAAUGGUUGGAACUGAAUAUAUUUAGGCACAAUUCUUUGUUGUAAUAACUCUGGAAAGUACGUCAAAGUUUUACAAGCGUGUUUUAUGUAUGUUUACCACGAAAUCGUUACGUAUGGCAUAUCAAUGAUUUCUUGUAAUAAAUAGUUAUUAAACGGCAGGCAAAUAUUAAAGAAACACAUUGACUUUACGUUCCAUAUGUAGAGGUAGGUACCGAGUUUUUUAUAUUUUUAUGCGAUUAAUGGUUGCUAAUAUUGGUUAUUUUAAUUUCCUUUGAAAUAUGUUUAGAACUUAAAAUUGACCGAAUGUUUUAGUAACCCUAAAAUAUUAUAAAUGCGAAAGUUUGUGAGGACGGAUGCGCAAAAUACGCAAAAUCUACAGCACGAAUUGUUAUGAAAUUUGGUACGCGCGUAGAAUAUAACCUGGAAUAACACGCAGGGUACUUUUAUCCGGAAAUUCCAACGGGAGCGAAGCCACGGGGCGCUGCUAGUUUGUAUAUAUUUUUAUAUAAUAUUGUGCAAUAAAGUUUAAAAUAAAUGAAUUUGGGUAGCUUAAUACGGCGCUUCACGCCACCUUUUUUUGAAAUAUAUAUGUAUAGCAAAAACUAAAAAAAUGCUUCAGGAGAUAAUGCUGCUCUAGAUAAAGGAUUUAAUUAUAUAGUAUUGUAACGAUUGGGAUCGCUUAUUAAUUAAAAUAUAUUAUUAUUAGAUAAAAUUUAAUACUUUUUUAACACAUACGUAAUUCAGCUCUGGAUUCAUUGGAUAACAGAGAUCACAGGGGACCCGGGCCAAUCAGAAAAAGAUCAUUUUCCAUCAUGACCCGACCGAGGAUCAAACCCUCUAGGUUCAAAGGCAAGCACUUUACCACUGCGCCACCGAGGUCGUCAAUCUAGAGUUAUGUUAGCCGUUGUGUGUUGUGCUUACGUUUGUGAAUUUGGUUAUUUAGGAAGCUGAAACGAACUGUUCAGUUGUAAAAGCUAAAUAUAACAGUAACAACAGUAAACUAUUCUCAUUUAGUAACACUUGUUAACAAUUUGUACACGUGUUUACACCAAAACCACUUAUGCUAUUGAUAUCUAUACUAUUAUUAUAAAGAAGUAAGCGUUUGUGAGUUUGUGACUUUGUGAGUUUGUAUGUUUGAGGUAAUCUACGAAACUACCGAACCGAUUUCAAAAAUUCUUUCAGCAUUAGAAAGGUACAUUAUCCAAGAUUGCUAUAGGCUAUAUUUUCUCUCAAAUUCCCCACGAGAGCGUAGCUCCGGGCAACAUCCAGUUAAGUAUAAAAAGAGUCCUGACGCAUCUGUCUGUUUGUAUGAACGCGAUAAAUUCAAAAAUUACCAGACGGAUUUUUAUACAGUUUUCAACGAUAGAUAGUUUGAUUAGUGAGGAAGGUUUAAGUGCUUUAUUUAUAACGGUUUACGCCGAACGUAGCCGAAACCGGCCGCUAAGUAAACUAAAUUUGCAAUCCUACUAACAUUAUAAUUGUGAUGACGUAUGUGUGUAUGCUUGUUACUCGAAAUCUACUGAAUAUAUUGUUAUGAAAUUUGGUAUACAGGUAGAAUAUAACCUGGAAUAACACAUUGGGCAUUUUUUAUCAGGGAGCGCAGACCUGGGGGGCAGCAGUACAUAUCUAUACAUUAUUAUAAAGAGGAGUCCGAAUUAACG